CUGCCCCAUCCUAAGUCCAACACUGAGUACGGUUGUCUGGACAUGGCCCAGGGAGGGUGAAAGGCCCGUGGGGGUGGGGACCACAGUGCUGCUAUGAGUAGACCUUGGAGUCGGGUUGUUUGUGAAUGCAGCCCAAAGUGGGUGGUAAACUCCAUCCAAGGCUAAAUACUGGCACGAGUCCGAUAGCAAACAAGUACCGUGAGGGAAAGUUGAAAAGUACUUUGAAGAGAGAGUAAACAGUACGUGAAACCGUUCAGAGGUAAACGGGUGGAGUUGAACUGCAAGCUCUGAGGAUUCAGCUGGUGAGAGUGGCUUAAUUGGGCAUGGUUAUUACGGUCGUCCGUUCGGGUUCGCUUAACUGCGGGUCUCCGCCUCCGGGUGGGGAUGCUGGGGUACUUGUCAAGUACUACGCGCUCGGACGGUUCACCGGGCCGGCUUGCCAGUGCACUUUCUCGGAGUAGUCACCACGACCGGCGCUGCUGCUGGUCCGCUGGGGUUUAACCUGUCGUGUAGGGUCUUUGUGGCUCUAUGCGGUGGGGAUGGCAGGUAGCUGGUUGGCUUCGCGUCGGCCAGUGUUAUCAGCUAACAUCAGGCGGUACUACUACUGUGUGCAGUGCGUCGGAGACGGCGGCUUGUGGUGUACACGUGUGUUACUUUGCGCUGUCCAUUCCGGGUCUGGUUGUCAUGAAGCCUGCAAAGACAGGUCUGGUAAUGGCUCGGAUUGAUGCGCAGUGUGAGCUGGGGCAUGCGGAACACCUGUAUAAUGAGGGCCAAUAGUCUGUGGUGUAGUGGUAGACUAUCCACCCGACCCGUCUUGAAACACGGACCAAGGAGAGUAACAUGUGCGCAAGUCAAUGGGCGUUACGAAACCCAAAGGCGAAGUGAAAGUGAAUGUUCGGCUUGUCCGGACUGCGGUGAGAUCCUGGCGUUUCUCACGCGUGGUAUCACCAUGCCCUUGAGCGUCAGGCGCAUCACCGGCCCGUCCCAUGGUGUGGGUGUGUUCGGCGGGUGUCCUUCUCGGAGGUGCAUCUCUCGUUGCAUCCCAUCGGGGUGGAGCAUGAGCGUGCAUGUUGAGAC
rnacentral:rRNA from 1 species